rnacentral:rRNA from 1 species
UCCCAGCCGUAAACGAUGCGGGCUAGGUGCUAGAUCGGCUACGGGCCGAUCUAGUGUCGCAGGGAAGCCGUUAAGCCCGCCGCCUGGGGAGUACGGCCGCAAGGCUGAACUUAAGGAAUUGGCGGGGGAGCACCACAAGGGGUGAAGCCUGCGGUUUAAUUGGAGUCAACGCCGGGAACCUUACCAGGGGAGACAGCAGGAUGAAGGUCGGGCUAAAGG